rnacentral:rRNA from 1 species
CGUAGGUGACCUGCGGAAGGAUCAUUAUCGA